rnacentral:rRNA from 1 species
CAACUUUCAGCAAUGGAUCUCUCGGCUUUCGUAUCGAUGAAGAACGCAGCAAAUCGCGAUAUGUAAUGUGAUCUGCCUAUAGUGAAUCAUCAAAUCUUUGAACGCAUCUUGCACCCUAUGGUAUUCCAUAAGGUACGUCUGUUUCAGUACCAACU